rnacentral:rRNA from 1 species
UACGUAGGGGGGCUAGCGUUGUCCGGAUUUAUUGGGCGUAAAGAGCGUGUAGGCGGCCAGGUAGGUCUGCUGUGAAAACUCGAGGCUCAACCUCGAGACGUCGGCGGAAACCAUCUGGCUAGAGUCCGGAAGAGGAGAGUGGGAAUUCCUGGUGUAGCGGUGAAAUGCGCAGAUAUCAGGAAGAACACCCGUGGCGAAGGCGGCUCUCUGGGACGGUACUGACGCUGAGACGCGAAAGCGUGGGGAGCGAACAGG